UACGGGGGGGGGCAAGCGUUGUUCGGAAUUACUGGGCGUAAAGGGUUAGUAGGUGGCCAACUAAGUCAGACGUGAAAUCCCUCAGCUUAACUGGGGAACUGCGUCUGAUACUGGAUGGCUUGAGUUUGGGAGAGGGAUGCGGAAUUCCAGGUGUAGCGGUGAAAUGCGUAGAUAUCUGGAGGAACACCGGUGGCGAAGGCGGCAUCCUGGACCAACACUGACACUGAUGAGCGAAAGCCAGGGGAGCAAACGGGG
rnacentral:rRNA from 1 species